CCUAAAAUCUUUCCACGUGAAUUGUUUUGCUGUACCUUUGGGCUUCGCCGUUGUCUGUUUUUUGUAAGAGAAAGGGGGAGGCGCGGUUGGAGGCCAUCAGGGGUGUGUUCGUCGCGGUUUGUUUCUUUUGUUGGAACUUGCGCGCGGAUGCGUCCUUUUGUCAACCCAUUUUUUGAAUGAAAACUGAUCAUACUGUGGGGACGAAAGUCUCUGCUUUUAACUAGAUAGCAACUUUCAGCAGUGGAUGUCUAGGCUCGCACAUCGAUGAAGAACGCUGCGAACUGCGAUACGUAAUGCGAAUUGCAGGAUUCAGUGAGUCAUCGAAAUUUUGAACGCAUAUUGCACUUUCGGGUUCUGCCUGGAAGUAUGUCUGUAUCAGUGUCCGUACACUAAACUUGCCUUUCUUGCGUCGUGUAGUCGUCGCUGGGAAUGCGCAGAUGUGAGGUUUUGUCUUGCUCUGGCUCGAAUUCGUUGGGCAGGAGCAAGUCCCUUUAAAGUCGGACGUGUUUUCUCUCUGCGGUGUGCUGUGUCGGCGCUGGCGGCG
rnacentral:rRNA from 1 species